rnacentral:rRNA from 1 species
AGCAGCCGCGGUAAUUCCAGCUCCAAUAGCGUAUAUUAAAGUUGUUGCAGUUAAAAAGCUCGUAGUUGAAUUUCGGGAUCAAGGAAUCGGUCAUGCCUCGGUAUGUACUGGUUUUAUUGGUUCUCACCUUCUAAAGAACCAUAAUGUCAUUCAUUUGGUGUUAUGGGGAAUUAGGACUGUUACCUUGAAAAAUUAGAGUGUUUAAAGCAAGCUUACGCUUGAAUACAUUAGCAUGGAGUAAUGAAAUAGGACAUCCGAUUCUAUUUUGUUGGUUUCUAGGAUCGAUGUAAUGAUUAAUAGGGAUAGUUGGGGGCAUUAGUAUUCAAUUGUCAGAGGUGAAAUUCUUGGAUUUAUUGAAGACUAACUACUGCGAAGGCAUUUGCCAAGGAUGUUUUCAUUAAUCAAGAACGAAAGUUAGGGGAUCGAAGACGAUCAGAUACCGUCGUAGUCUUAACCAUAAACUAUGCCGACUAGGGAUCGGAUGAUGUUUAUUUUUAGUGUACUCC